rnacentral:rRNA from 1 species
UAAUUUGGAUCUAGUCUGCCCAAUGAUAAUUGAAUGGCCGCGGUAUUUUGACCGUGCUAAGGUAGCAUAAUCAAUAGUUUUUUAAUUGAAAGCUGGAAUGAAGGGUUGGAUAAAAAAAUAACUGUUUUUAUUUAAUUUAAUUAGAAUUUUAUAUUUAAGUUAAAAAGCUUAAAUUUUGUUAAAAGACGAGAAGACCCUAUAGAGUUUAAUAAAUAAUUAUAUUAUUAUAUUUAGAAUUAACUUUAUUAGUUAUAUUAUUUAUUUAAUUGGGGUGAUUAAAAAAUUCAAAUAACUUUUUUUAUAUUAUAACAUUUAUAGAUGAAUAUUUGAUCCAUGGUUAAUGAUUAAAAGAUAAAAUUACCUUAGGGAUAACAGCGUUAUUUUUUUUUAGAGUUCAAAUCGAAAGAAAAGAUUGCGACCUCGAUGUUGGAUUAAAAUAAAUUUUUGGUGUAGAAGCUAAAAUAUUAGGUCUGUUCGACCUUUAAAAUUUUACAU